GGCCUGCUCAUGAUUAAUUAAAUAGCUGCAGUAUACUGACUGUGCAAAGGUAGCAUAAUCAUUAGUUUUUUAAUUGAAAGCUUGUAUGAAAGGUUUGAUGAAAAAAGGUCUGUCUCUGUCUAAUUUUUAUAAGAAAUUUAUUUUUAAGUGAAAAAGCUUAAAUAGAAGUCGGGGACGAGAAGACCCUAUAGAGUUUUAUAUUUUAUUAGUUGAUAAAUUGUAGAAAUGUUUUAGUUGAUGAAAUUAAAUAUUUUGUUGGGGUGAUAAAAAAAUUUAUGAAACUUUUUUUUUAUAUAAACAAUAAUGUUUGAGUGAUUGAUCUUAAUAUUUAGAUUAGAAGAUUAAAUUACCUUAGGGAUAACAGCGUAAUAUUUUUUAGAGCUCGUAUCGAAAAAAAUGAUUGCGACCUCGAUGUUGGAUUAAAAUAUGUGAGUGGUGGAGAGGCUACUUAACUAAGUCUGUUCGACUUUUGAAAUUUUACAUGAUCUGAGUUUAGACCGGCGUGAG
rnacentral:rRNA from 1 species